rnacentral:ncRNA from 1 species
UUGAUAGAGGUGCGGAUUCAAUGAGUCGUUUUGCGCAGAAAUGCCCGUUUCGUAGCAGCGCAGAAUAAAAGGUGAAUCUGCCGAAGAAUUUGACUGUUCGGGCAGAGUCAGGUUCUGGUUGCAGGUCUGAAUAAGUCUGUGACUGUCAUCAUAAUCUUUAUGAUGGAGAGCUAUCGC